GGGAUAACUCUCCGAAAGGGGGUGCUAAUACCGGAUAAGACCACGGGAGCCUCGGCUCCUGCGGGAAAAGGUGGCCUCUGUAUACAAGCUAUCGUUUCAGGAUGAGCCCGCGGCCCAUCAGCUAGUUGGCGGGGUAACGGCCCACCAAGGCGACGACGGGUAGCUGGUCUGAGAGGACGAUCAGCCACACUGGAACUGAGACACGGUCCAGACUCCUACGGGAGGCAGCAGUGGGAAUCUUGCGCAAUGGGCGAAAGCCUGACGCAGCAACGCCGCGUGUGUGAUGAAGGUCUUCGGAUCGUAAAGCACUGUCGGGAGGGACGAAUAAGGGUCCGUCUAACAAGCGGAUCCGAUGACGGUACCUCCAAAGGAAGCACCGGCUAACUCUGUGCCAGCAGCCGCGGUAA
rnacentral:rRNA from 1 species